UUGAACGCUGGCGGCAUGCCUUACACAUGCAAGUCGCACGGUAACAGGUCUUCGGAUGCUGACGAGUGGCGAACGGGUGAGUAAUACAUCGGAACGUGCCCAGACGUGGGGGAUAACGAGGCGAAAGCUUUGCUAAUACCGCAUACGAUCUAAGGAUGAAAGCAGGGGACCGCAAGGCCUUGCGCGUUUGGAGCGGCCGAUGGCAGAUUAGGUAGUUGGUGGGAUAAAAGCUUACCAAGCCGACGAUCUGUAGCUGGUCUGAGAGGACGACCAGCCACACUGGGACUGAGACACGGCCCAGACUCCUACGGGAGGCAGCAGUGGGGAAUUUUGGACAAUGGGCGAAAGCCUGAUCCAGCAAUGCCGCGUGCAGGAUGAAGGCCUUCGGGUUGUAAACUGCUUUUGUACGGAACGAAAAGGCUCUGGCUAAUACCUGGGGCACAUGACGGUACCGUAAGAAUAAGCACCGGCUAACUACGUG
rnacentral:rRNA from 1 species